CCUGGGAAAAACUAGAUGAUCCCCAGUCUUGAAAGCUGGAACUGAAAGAUGACCCAGACAUGCAAAUGGAGAUUGAGAAUUAACUUGAUGGAGAAAAUGUGGCCAAAAUGAAGAAAUAAUUGCCCAAGUAAAGAGCCAGGAUGUGGAGACUUAAUAGUCUUAGAAUGACUCAGUAAGCAAGCUGAAGCUAAAUCACUUCUUUUGGUCAAGUUAAUUAUCAAUCACAGGUAUGGCUGAGUAGGGGGGGGGGGGUGGAACUUGCUCUGGGAAUUACAAACUCUAUUGAUGUAUCAAGACACAUUUCUUUCACAAGAGUUAGAUUCUGGCAUGAGACAUUUUAAGGAUUUCUCCCAGGGCGUGGUGGAGUGAUUGGAAUAAUGGGGCCUGAAGGAAUAUAAAAUUUUGGUCCAGACUUGAGGGGAGUUUCUGUUUGGUCCAUGAGACUGACUGAUGUUUGCAUAACAGCUGAGAUUUGAAUCUGGAUCCUCUGGUUAUAGAUCUCAUGUCUCUUCUGCUAUACCAUGGGGCUUGGAGCAGAUCAGCUUUAGGAUCCCAUCCAACUCAAAUAUUCUGUGAUUCUAGACUGAAUAUCCUUCAACUAUUCCUCAUAUGGGCAUGGUCUCUGCUCUCCCACAAUCCUCAUGACCCAAUAUACUUCCUAAAAUGUGGCACCAAGAACUGAAAACAAUGCACCAGAUAUGGCCUGACUAGACCAGUGAACAGGGGAACCGUCACCUCUCAUUCUGAAUAUUCAACCUCCUAGAAUUUCAGGUAGCUGCUCCCAGAUUCUUCUGGGAAUAUCUGAUAUGAUCACUUACUAUAUGGUAUUUACAGAUAAAAAUGCUUAAUGAAAUGCCCCAUAGAGUACAUAUUUACCUUAACAUUCCUUAGUCUGAAAUAUGUUUUAAUUAUG
rnacentral:lncRNA from 1 species